GUCAUCAGAUACAUUUAUUGACUAUCAAGUAGAUACAUAUUUAUUGACUAUCAAAUAGAUACAUAAUUAUUAUGAAAGGUGACAGACGGUUACCAUACUAGAGUUGACACCCGACAUUCCCUUCUGACCUAUAUAAGGAAGCCCAAAAACUACAUACAAAGACAAUUGACAUACAAGGAAAUAAAGAAAAAUACAAACAUAGACGAAGAAUGAAAGUUUUGGAAUCUGAAAAUUUUCCAUCCCCUGAUAAACAGAAUAAUAAACAUGUCGGCACAGAACUCUAUGACACUGAAAGUAUAGCAGAUGGAAUCGGCCCAGCCUCUUGUGGAGAAUGUGGAUGGAAAUUUUAAUAGUCCCCUUCCUGUCACUAGUCUCACCGAAAGAGAUUACUAUUGUCACAAACAGCGAGACACAUGUGAAGUCCCCUGUUUCAAAUUUACUUUAUUUAGUCAAAAAAUGCAGUUUGAGUAGAAAGUAAUCUGAAAAAGGAACUAAGGAAAGUAGAGGUACAGAGUUGGAAAUGGAGCACGUGAAUUCAAUUUCAUGAAGUGUUCGUAUAUCUCCAACGUCUCCAUGAGUGAACAAUUCUCGACGGGCAUAAAACAAACUAACAAUCAAUCGUCUAUCUCCAUGAUCGAUAUUCAUUUAGUGUCAUCAUGACUUUACGGACUUCCGGUGUGAGUGAGCGGUGGACUGAGAGAGAUCUCGCAUCAUCAUUGAGCGCAGUCUUCUUGGCUUAAAAUCCCGAAAUUGGAACUUUCCUAUGUUGUCGUAAAGUAUUAACCCAGAAAAUGUUUGAAGUACAGAAAGUCAAAUUCAAAAAAUAGCUUUUGAUUGUAGUAGACAGCAAUGCUAUCUCUGAAGCAUUCAUCACAAGUUACUAACGACAAGAAUGGUAUAAGUCCUCUCACAGCAGUAAGAGAAUCAAAGACCUCAGUGUCGACUCGUCAAUGAUUUCCAACAAGGGGUGGGGGUAUAUACAUCAUCGUCUUAUAAAAUUUAAUUCUGAAUCUUUAGAGUAUGGUAAAACAAAAUGUACAUACUUAAGUAUUAUGCUUAACUAGAUAUCUAUAGAAUUUCCACUCAAAGUCAAUAAAAGCGUGCAAUCGAUGUCGCCGGCACUUUAUUAGAAAAUAAGCUAUACCAAAUCAUAUAUUUUGUGUGCUAUACAUUCAUGGACCCAUAGCCUCCCUAGGCAUGGUAUACUUUUUAUUUCCCCUUUACUUAUAAACUUGGUAGGAAGCGUAGAUACCCUAAUUUUGUAACGUACGUGACUGUCGCCGACUCAAUUUUUAAAAUUGAACAAGCAAAUAUAAAUAUCUGAGAGCGUGUUUUUAAAUUUUCUUUGCGUUAAUAUAAUUUGUAGUUCCUAAAUUUUCAUUCAAUAAAAGUUAAACAACUUUUGCCUAUGAUUUUAAGCAGUGGUGUAUAUAUUACUCCAUGUCGCCAGAUUAUAUUAUGUGAUCAUAGGGUCAAUUAAACACCCAAUGUAUGGUCAAAGAUUUCGUAUUAUCUUUAUGUUUUUGAUCUAUUUUGGCGCUAAAAUAUUCAAAACUGUGGAAAAAUAUUCAUCAAGCGAUAUUUGGAUGUGGCAUUGAGAAGAAGUCAUCAUAUUCUCAAAAUUUUGCAUUCUGAUUUUAGAAAUGUAACAUACGAUACAAUAAACUUUUUAUGAAAACGUAUUUGCAGAGCAAAUGUUACCGCUUUUAUGAAAAUCUCGUAGUGUACAGAGAAUGAAAAUAUAAACAUUUCUUUUGCAGAAGUCAUUGGUUGGUCUGAAAUUUGACAAACGUGUCAAGAUGUAACAUUCGUGAUGUAACAUUCGUUACCGAGAGAUUAAUUAAAAGGAAUGAUAGAACAAUUUCCGGCGUAUUUUUGCUCUCUCUCUGCAUGGUGUUGUAUACGACAUGAACGUCUACUAUGAACAUUUGAGUUUGAAAGUCAAUACGUGUUAAACUUUGUGAAUUAGGAUUAAUUUUCUCUUACAAAAUGGCGCUUGUGAGAGUAAAAGUACAGAAUAACUACCAUGAAAAAAAUGUAUUAAAACAUAAGAACCAUGAAAAAAUGUUUUAGAAAUAAUAUUAUAUCCUCCCCUUGUGGCAAUACUGAAAAGGUAGAAUGUCUGUAUAGGCAGUGAAAAUAAAGGUUUAACUACCGGUCAAAGGCUACCAUAAUGAUACAUGUAAGUUUUGUCUCUCAAAAUACUUAUAAGCAACUGGUCAUUUGAUUAAUUUUGUAUGACCUUUGACCUUGUGACUUGGAAUCCAAUGGGGGUCAUCUAUUCAUAAGGGGCACCAGUGUUUCAAGUUUGAUGUCUAUCAAGGAAAGAUUUCUCAACGGACAAUAGCGUAUGUCCAGAGUAGUUUAACCGUUGUCCUUUUGACCUCAAAAUUAAUAGGGGACAUCUAUGUCUUAAGGUUCACGUUAAAUAUUCAUUCAUAACACCGCGUGGUGGAUUAUACUGACAGUUUCUAUGGAAAGGUAUUCCAAAAUAAGCAACAAAAACAUAAGAUUCGGUAUACAUUUAAUCAAAAUGUUGGGAAAUUAAACAUUUUCUUUAUAUUAUUAUUGUAAACAGAUUGUUAGAAAUGGGUACAUAUGAUUCUUUCCAUUUUUUGAAUAGAAAUGAUGUGUUUAUAGUAAUGAAAGGAAAAAUAAGAAACAUACGUUACUUUCAUUGUUUAUUAUAAGAAAGAGCAAUCCAGGUUUCAAAAUAUGUGUCUGUUAUUUCUAUAAGAAUCAUGGGCAUUUAUAUAGCGAAACAUCAAUCUAUCACUUUUGUUUUAAUCGCACAUUUAUUGCAAAUUAAUAAAUUCAGAAGAAAAGACACAUUUGGUAAAAAAAAUUUGCUUGUCUACGUUAUAUUUCUAUUAAAAUUGGUAUUUCCAUUGAAUUAAGUGAUGUCGUUAUGAUUUUGCAACAUCAGUCGUAAAGAAUAACUGAUGGUGACAUCGUUUUGGCAUAAUAUUUUCAUGGAUGUACUGUUGCGUAAGUGUUGAAACAUACGUUACAUAAUUAUAGUGCUACUUCAUUUACAUACAAAAAAGCUAUCGUUCUAUAUCUAUUGCUAGUCUUUUGUUUUCAUGUUUCAUACAUAUUGAACUGUUCGAGAAUAUUUGUUCAUCAAUUUUAUUUUUUGCCAUUUCAAAGAUAUUGAAAGUGACAUCUAGUCGUUUAUUUUGCGCUCUUAAAAUCUUAUUGCUGACUUUUACAGCAGAUAAUUUCUUGUUGUGUUGAUUAAAUAUAUUCUUUCAA